CCUACGGGAGGCAGCAGUGGGGAAUAUUGGACAAUGGGCGAAAGCCUGAUCCAGCAAUGCCGCGUGAGUGAUGAAGGCCUUAGGGUUGUAAAGCUCUUUUACCAGGGAUGAUAAUGACAGUACCUGGAGAAUAAGCUCCGGCUAACUCCGUGCCAGCAGCCGCGGUAAUACGGAGGGAGCUAGCGUUGUUCGGAAUUACUGGGCGUAAAGCGUACGUAGGCGGUUAUUCAAGUCAGAGGUGAAAGCCUGGAGCUCAACUCCAGAACUGCCUUUGAAACUAGAUAGCUAGAAUCUUGGAGAGGUGAGUGGAAUUCCGAGUGUAGAGGUGAAAUUCGUAGAUAUUCGGAAGAACACCAGUGGCGAAGGCGACUCACUGGACAAGUAUUGACGCUGAGGUACGAAAGCGUGGGGAGCAAACAGGAUUAGAUACCCUGGUAGUCCACGCCGUAAACGAUGAUAACUAGCUGUUCGGGCUCUACGAGCUUGAGUGGCGCAGCUAACGCAUUAAGUUAUCCGCCUGGGGAGUACGGUGCAAGAUUAAAACUCAAAAGAGUAAGUCGGACGNGAGAGAGCGACGACGACGACGACGGAGGAGAG
rnacentral:rRNA from 1 species